UGGGGAAUAUUGGACAAUGGGCGAAAGCCUGAUCCAGCCAUGCCGCGUGUGUGAAGAAGGUCUUCGGAUUGUAAAGCACUUUAAGUUGGGAGGAAGGGCAUUAACCUAAUACGUUAGUGUUUUGACGUUACCGACAGAAUAAGCACCGGCUAACUCUGUGCCAGCAGCCGCGGUAAUACAGAGGGUGCAAGCGUUAAUCGGAAUUACUGGGCGUAAGGCGCGUAGGUGGUUUGUUAAGUUGGAUGUGAAAUCCCCGGGCUCAACCUGGGAACUGCAUUCAAAACUGACUGACUAGAGUAUGGUAGAGGGUGGUGGAAUUUCCUGUGUAGCGGUGAAAUGCGUAGAUAUAGGAAGGAACACCAGUGGCGAAGGCGACCACCUGGACUAAUACUGACACUGAGGUGCGAAAGCGUGGGGAGCAAACA
rnacentral:rRNA from 1 species